rnacentral:rRNA from 1 species
AUAUUAACCCCCUAGGUAGUCACUAAACUAAUAUAUACUGGCGGUCUCUUCAGUCUAGAGAAACUCGCUUCAUAAUCGUAAAUACUCGUUAAAUUUAGCCUUACUUACUAAAGCCUAUAUACCGCCGUUAUAGAAUCUAUGAAAUUAAUCAAAUCCUAUAAUUAUUUAAUACUUAAAAUCAGGUCAAGGUGUAGCUUACUCUAAGGUAAGAAGUAAGUUACAUUAAGAAUCACUUAAGGAUUUCAGACUAAAGCCUAAAUGAAAAAGAAUUUAAACGUACAUAAAAAUUAAAAUUUUAUAUAGAACAAUAAAUGAAUAGAUGC